UGUGUUGCUGUGCGCAGACCCACACGCACCAGACGCACACACGCAUACACACACGCGUACACACACACACACACACGCAUGAAGGAAUGUACCUCCUCGCUUGAUGUCAAACUUAAGUUGCUUGAGUCAUGUUCAACAACAUGAAUCCUAUCAGUCACCACCAUCACCCACCCACGGCGGAUGUGGACUACCCUCACCAUGUGUGUUUUUGGGGGAUGACGUGUGUAUGAUGCGUGCAGUGACAUUGUCGCGUGCAUUCUGUUUUUGGCAUCUUGCUGUCUUUAUCUUGGUCUUUGUCUUGGUGUGUGUGUGUGGGCGGGUGUAUCUUGGCAUGUGCCUUGAUGGGAGUUUCUUGGCGUGUGUGUGUGUGUGUGUGUCUUUGUGUGUGUGUGUCGUCUUGAUGUGUAUCUUGGUGGUUGCCUUGAUGUGUAUCUUGGUGUGUGUCUUGGUGUGUGUCUUGGUGUGUAUCUUGAUGUGUAUCUUGGUGGGUGCCUUGAUGUGUAUCUUGGUGUGUGUCUUGCUGUGCUCUCUGACCUGUGGCCAGGGGUCUCUUAUGCCUCAGGUUCUGGGUCUGGACCAGCUUCUCAGCCAGGAGGAAGAUGGGUCUCUGGAUCACCGCCAUCUUGUUUCCCAGGUCCAGCUGUAGCUGGGAGAAAGAGAAGAAAUAACCACAGCCACCCGACUCAAACUUUGUGCCGACCGUUUCUGCUGAGCCCCGACAGCGUGGGCAAGAGGUUCCUCUCCGCGUCAGACGCCAGAUGCAGCAAAUCCGUCAUCUCAUCAAUAGAGAAAUCAGCUGAUAAAAAUCUCCUUCUGCACUAAACGUAAAACACCACCCUGUGACACAAAAUUCUGCUGUAAAGGGUUCAGCUUGGAAAGCCUUUGUGACCAGCCUAACAAGUAAGUGGCGGGGGUGGUGGUUGCUAUAACAAUUUCACAAUACAAGGUGAGCCCCCCCCCCUCCACACACACACACACCCACACAUUGCACGAGGCCGUCCCUUGGGCUGGUGUUGAUUACUGAUUGUCACAAGAGAAUGAAAAUCUCUAGGAAGGCAGAGGUAAGGUUGAUCAGCGCCUUGCGAAAUACGAGGCACGCGAGGUCGCGUGUUCCUGUGAGUCAUCACAGCACAUCAGUGUAUAUCUCAGAGAUUGAUAAACAUUAAUGCCAUAAUAUCCAUCCUCGAGUAGUCAGUGUUACAGGCCAGUACACCUUCAGUCAAAAUAGGCACCUUUAAUUUGAUAUUGUUUCUACACACAAUUUUGUUUCCAAGCUUGCUCUUCUGCAUCUUAAUGUGGCCUUACCAUUUCCUAAGAGCACUUUGGUAUCUUUGUGGACUCUGAAUUAUUUGAAUAUGUUUUCUAAUAGUUUUAUUUGAGUAUUUUAUUUAUAGAAUUAAAUUAGAAAUACACUGUGCUCAACAUCACAGUGUUACUGUCUGGCUGAUAGACUGUUUCCACAUCCUGCAGUACAGUACUGAAACCCUAUUUCAGUAUUAGAGAGGAAGACAAACCAUUUGCUUAUAAAUGAAACUUACAAAGGGAAACAGACUUGAUCCCUAAGACCACCAAAUCUUCGGAGACGACUUGCUGGUUGUUUCUCUAUCUCUUUUUCAGUCAAGUCAAUUCAAUGUAUUUUUAUUGCCCUUAAUUUUAGUGACAGCCUGGGAUAAGAGUGUGAUGGGUGCCAUCUUUGACCUACAUUGUAGACAUAGUCGCAUGACAACCAAGCUUUUGAAGUGCAAUUUCCUCUCUUCCUCUUUCCUCUUAACCACAGGUCAUUAUGUCUUUAAGCACGCCUUUAGCCUUGUUUUUGCUCUUUUUUUAGUUUCUGUCUAUUUCCUGGAAGAUGGAGAAAUGGAAUAAAUUCUGGACUUUCCAGAUCGAUUAAUGAUUCCCUGGAAAAAUACACAAUUAUUAUGGCAACAGUUCAUUUCGGGAAUUUUUUGCCAUUUCUAUUCUGAAAGCCGACAGCACAACAAGACCGUUAGUAGUUUAUAUUAUAUACUGUUUGGGUCCAUUCCGAUCUGAACACACUUCCGGUUGGGGAGGGUGGGGGUGGAGGGGGGUAUCCCUAUUCACAGGGGCCACAUCCUGUUUAUGAUUUAUGACGGGUCAUAAAAUCCAUUGUGGUAAGCAUUUGGCGGCCGCGGCAGCUGUGCGAGGCAACACGCAGGGCAUAGCGAGAAUUAGCUCAGUAGAGGCGUUAAGAGCUUCUAAAACCGCUCGAAAAUUAUGGUUAAUGGAAUCUACUUGCAAAGCUAACCUGGAUGCCUAUAGGGCAUUGUGUACCGAGAUGUCUGUGAUGAGUGACACACUAGCAAAGCUCUCGGUGAAUGCUAUUAUUUGAUUUGUGUUUUUGUUUUUUUCUUUUAUCUUGUGGAGAGGGUAUUUUUUUUUGUUUUAAACUGCAUGUAAUAAAACUUUUUUUUCAUUUAA